ACUGAUACAGCAAAGACAAGAAAAUCCCUAGUAGAACGCAAGUCCUGGAAGAUCCGCAGGUUCUUUUCUCUGUGACAUCUCAAUGGUACCUGCAGACAUAAUGACACGUAGUUAUCAAAAAGGUGAAACCUCAAUAAAACACUGCAGGAAAAUGACGAUCACAAAAAUCUACCAAGACACCAGCGUAAACAAGAGAGUGGUUUGGAAAAAGCUUAGUACGUUCCA